rnacentral:lncRNA from 1 species
CCAAAAGUACUCCCUUUGAGGGAGUGGCUGGUUUUGGGGAGGGAUAAGGUUGGUGUGUGUGUUGAUUAGUGAGUUUUGUCAAAAACAUGCAAGUGUAUGUAAGAUAAGUUUAUGAAAUAAUUCAAUCACAAUUAUUUCAAUCAUCAUUUAUACAAAUAUCUAACACUUUAAAUACAUAAUAAAUCAUUUAAAAAACAUAUCACAUAUACUUUAUGAAAUAAUUCAAAACUUUGAAUCAAUACACCAAACCUUUUUGUUCUUGGCAAGAACAUCAAGAAUAAUGAAGAACAUCCAUGAAAAACCCAAAUUUUUCCAUGAACUUUUUCCACCCAAAAACAUUCCAAAACCAUUCUUACUUAAGGGAAAUAACAUCUAACCAAACUAGGGUACUUAGGGGUUCCAAAGAACACAUUAAAACACUUUUAACAAGUCAAACAAGAACCCAAAAAAUCACCCUUUGAUUUUGGCCGAAUUUUCCCAAAAGCAUGGCACCAAAUUUUAGCUCCAAUAUUCAUGCUCAUAU